GACAGAGGGUGCAAACGUUGUUCGGAAUUAUUGGGCGUAAAGAGCUCGUAGGCGGUGUGUCGCGUCGGCCGUGAAAACUUGCAGCUUAACUGUGGGCUUGCGGUCGAUACGGGCAUCACUGGAGUUCGGCAGGGGAGACUGGAAUUCCUGGUGUAGCGGUGAAAUGCGCAGAUAUCAGGAGGAACACCGGUGGCGAAGGCGGGUCUCUGGGCCGAUACUGACGCUGAGGAGCGAAAGCGUGGGGAGCGAACAGG
rnacentral:rRNA from 1 species